CACCACAGCUACUGGUCUGAAACUGCUCUAAAAGUGGCUGUUGUGGCAUUACUGUGGGAAAGAAAUUGUUGCAUAAGUCAAUACCUCUUUCUUAGCCAAACAGAGAGUAGGCAUAAACGUGUGCGACAAACACUG